GAACCACAGAUGAACAUAGCCUACUCCCCUGGGGGGAAAACAGGAGCCCUGUAAACUGAGAGGGAAAUGACUUGCCAAGACCCGUUGAGACACAGUGAGAAGACAGCCAUCUGCAAACCAGGAAGAGGUUCCUCACUAGGAACGCAGUCUAUCUGCACCCUAAUCUUGGACUUCAGCCUCCAGAACUGAAAUGAAGAAAAGUAUGAUGCCAUUAGAGGAGACAGCAUGGCCACGCGUAAGAGCUCAAACUCCUGCAGAAUUCCAACCACACAGAGGAGAGG